rnacentral:rRNA from 1 species
AUUGAACGCUGGCGGCAUGCUUUACACAUGCAAGUCGAACGGUAACAGGGAGCUUGCUCCGCUGACGAGUGGCGAACGGGUGAGUAAUGCGUCGGAACGUGCCGAGUAGUGGGGGAUAACGCAUCGAAAGGUGUGCUAAUACCGCCUACGAACUGAGGUUGAAAGUGGGGGACCUUCGGGCCUCACGCUAUUCGAGCGGCCGACGUCUGAUUAGCUAGUUGGUGAGGUAAAGGCUCACCAAGGCGACGAUCAGUAGCGGGUCUGCGAGGAUGGUCCGCCACACUGGGACUGAGACACGGCCCAGACUCCGACGGGAGGCAGCAGUGGGGAAUUUUGGACAAUGGGCGCAAGCCUGAUCCAGCCAUGCCGCGUGUCUGAAGAAGGCCUUCGGGUUGUAAAGGACUUUUGUCCGGGAGCAAAUGCCUGGUGUUAAUAGCAUCGGGAGCUGAGAGUACCGGAAGAAUAAGCACCGGCUAACUACGUGCCAGCCGCCGCAGUAAGAC